GGGUUGGGGGCAGGGAGAUUUCUGGAAAACACUUGCCUUGAUGUAAACUAAGAAAUAAGUUCAAGGCUCAGCACGAAAGGAUCUUGUUUUUGCGGUGCUUUCGUCCACACAGGGAAGGAUGCCUCUCGAGGUGGUGGUGGAGCUCCAAAUCCGGGCGAUUUCUUGCCCGGGAGUGUUCCUGCCGGACAAGGAAAGUGUGUACCUUGGAGUCUACCUUCUGAAUCAAUACCUGGAGACAGACUACUUUCCCUCUGCGUUCCCUAUUGCGAUUCAACAGGGCAUGAGAUUUGAAAAGAUAUUUGAAAAUGCAAUAGAUCCCGGAGCUGUUGCAGAAAUUUUAGAAAGCUUCCUAACCAGGUUUGAAUUGAUACAGCUAGUGUCUCCAGCAUGGGAAGAGCUGGCCUACUAUGAAGAAAACACACGUGAUUUUCUAUUCCCUGAGCCCAAGCUGACAUCUUCCCACCUUGGCAUGUAUAGAGAGUUGCUUAUGAAGACAGCAAUAGGUUUUCCAGGCAUUGCUCCCAAACUAGAAUUUUCUACAAGGACAGCCAUCCGGGAAUGUAUGUUCCUGCAAAGAAACAGAUUUUUUGAAGACAAGUAUAAAUCACAAAGGUCUUCAUCAAAAUCACAUGGGCAAAGAGCUCCUACAAAUAACAGAAAAACCAAGCCAAAGGAGAAAAGUCCCGACCGACUCCCCAAAGGCACCCAGCCCCGGGUACCCACCCCAUCUUCCCCCAGAUGUCUCCUCAUGCACCAGCCAACUCCGCUGAACCUUGGCAAAAGCUUCAGGCUCCCUGGAGAAAGAAAACCUCCAUUUGUGGUUAGACAUGUGGACAGUGAAAACCCCUUUGGUGAAAACAAUUUGGAACAUCGUUUACAGAAGUCCAGAAGAAGAUCUAAGUUUUUAGACUUUGCUUUUCCAAUGAGAAGAGCAUCUUCUCUUGACAGCCUUGCAGCAAACGUCAAGGUUACCAGAGAGCCAGAUGAACGUAUUCUUUUAAGGAGUCAGCCACCAUCACCUUUAAAUUCAAGGAAGUCCAGAAAACCCUCACCCAGUCACCAAGGGGAUGCCGAUUUCCACCCGGAGGCUCCACUUCCCACCCCCCAGCAUUCCAGAUCUCCCAGCCCUUUGAAUCAGCGUCUUCUCCGAAAAAGGUUCCAGCCUCGUUCUCAGUCCACGUGGAAGAAGAUUCAUGAGAGGGUGUGCAGCCUCCUGGCAUCCCACAGAGCUCACCCAAAGGUUAGGGAUUCUGGCGAAACUAGAUCCUGGCUGGUAAAUGUGGAAACUGGAAUUCGAAGUCCAGUGAGGGAAACAGACAUCAGUGAAGUAACCAUAGGAACCAAGUGAAACUGUGACACUGACCCAGGAGAGAACAUGGUGUCCUGAGCCUGACUGGGCAGGAAGAUUUUAUCUCUGACACAAAUUAUAUCCGUUCAAGACCAAGCUACCCCCUGAAGAAACUCCCACGGCACGGACAGAGAUAUUUUUAACUAUUAUCUCAUGGGAACAUGAAUGAAAACCGAAGAAGGAUGAAGGGCUCAGUCAUCAACACUGACACAUCCUUGGAGAAAUGAACAGCACUCUUUGUUAUCUGGGUUGAGUUACUGGUGCCUAGCCCCCAUUAAAUCAAACCUUAUACUCAGUCUUUUGUGCCCAAGGUAAGAAUUAUUGAUUACAUUCUGUUUGGGGCUCUCAUUUGCACCUGUCACCUAGAGAAUUUGUGUUUGAGCAUGAAAAAUGGGAAGCAUAGAAGUGUGUCAGGAGCCUUUUCAUUUGGAAUGCAUAAUGAAAAUAUAUUGUGGGAUAUUUGUACUGUGUAUAGAUACAUUACUGUGAUUGGUUCAAUAAGGAGUUGCAUGGUCAGUAGCUAGGCAAGGGGAGACUUCUGGCAGAGUGGAAGUAGGAGGAGAUAAUCAAGGCUCAGGGAGAUGCCAAUGGAACGUGGAGGAAGUCAGGCAUACAAAGUGAAAGCUAAAAAGCCACACGGUAAAACAUAGAUUAAUAGAAAUGGGUUAAUUUAAGUUAUAAGAGCUAAUUAAGAGCAAGUCUAAGCUAUAGGCUGAGUUUUCAUGAUUGAUGUCAUACUUGUGUCAUUAUUUGUGAGCUGGCUGAUGGGACAGAGAAGGACUCUUUACAAAAGUCCUUAAAAAUUGUAACAAGACUGUCUUCCAUGAGCCAGGGAGUUGAUUAUUUAGGGAGAUAAUGAAACAUAAAUGAUAAAUCAACUGGAAAAGAUCAGCAACCUGAUUAUCUAUUUUUGAUAAAUCUGAUUUUUGUGUUUCUUUUUUUUUUUGCGUAAGGCUUGAAUGGCAUUAAGCUCAGGAAAAAGAGUAAUUUUAAAUAAGCUUAACUUUCUAAGAUGAAUUUGGGAGAGGGGCUAAUUUCUGUAGUUUAAAUCAUUCCCUCUCCUUAUCACCCUUCCCAAUAAUUCUUAAUAAUAUCGAUCAGAAACAAGAUGUUCUGCAAGCAUUUUUCUAAGACAACUGCUUUGAGUAAAUAGAUGCCACAGAGAGGGCCACCCAGCCAGGCUUCAGGUUCAUCUGUAGGGGCCGCUAUGAAAUGCUCAGACAUUCUGGGGGAGCUGGAAGAGGCAGAUCUGGAAGGGGGCAUGCUCUCUUCCUUCUGCCAUCCUCUACUUGUUUGCCUCAGUCUGAAUGCUGUGUCUGCUUGAAAUUUUAACUCGAAAGGUGAUGCCAUUAAGAAGUGGAGUUUUGGGGGGGGGGUCACAAGGACAGAGUACCACUGAAGAGGCUGUAAAAUAGGCGAUAGGAACUCUGCCCCUCCUAACACACAAGGACACACACAGUGAGGUGAACCAAGCAAAGACGUUACCAGAUCCCAAAUUUGCCAGCACCUUGACCUUGGGCAUCCUGACUAAUAGAACUGUGAGAAGCAGUUUCUUUUCUUUAUAAGCUACCUAGUUUAUGGCAUGUUGUCCUCCUACGAAUAAACACAAUACACUAAAAACCUUUUAGUUUUUGUAAGACACAUGAGAACCAGGUUUUUUUAAAAUGCCGUAAGUAAUUGGUUUUCAAAGGUAAAUCAGGAAUAAAUAAAUAUUAAAACGAAACAAAAAAGAUACUCUGGAAACAAAAUAAAACAAAACUCAUUUAGAGUUCUUUCAAAAUUUCAGCCAAAUAAAGGUAUAUUCCACCUUUGGAAGCCUAAGUUAUGUGUCCUUUUAAAUGUUCACGGUGUCAGAAACAGUUUGUUGUUUUGAUGUGAAUUUUAAGUAGUUGUCAAAAAUAAAAGCUACUAGAAUUAAA